GAUCAGGUAUUGGAAUGGUGCUUGGCUGCAAGAUGGACUGUUCCUCUUUUUUGGGGUCGGAAUUGCAGAUGAUGGACUCUCUUACCUGAACAAGUGCUGCAAUGCGAUUCUGAAGGUAAAUUCAUUGAGCUUGUGAGGGCAUUGCGGCUGACUCAAGGGGCACUCUUCAACUAGGCCGAUGAAACUGGAAUUGUUGAAGAGGAGGACCUGAAGAAGAUGAAUGUUGGAGCAAAAGAAGUCCACUGUCAAAAGGGAGGCGUUUUUAAGACACUUUUAAAAAGGGACUUCGCCUGACGCACCGUUUCAGGUGCUCUGCCAGGCAAAUUCAGUCACGAGAUGCAUCAUGGCGGAACUUUUCUUGGGUAUGGCUCAAACUGAAGCUGGCAUUUAGACCAAAAAAAGUGAUCUGCUUUCAUGAAAAACUGGGUAUGGUUCUCGGCAGAUGCUAUUCCAUGUUUUCAAGCUCAGAGUGGGAAGAAGGCAGGUUUUGGUUGGCCCUAGCUCCUUUUGCUAUUCUGGUGCUGGAGCAAGGAAAGUUAACUGCAGAUCAAGCGGCGAAAGGGCUGGCGGCAACUUAUCCAUGGAAAUGGGAUUGGCACGUGAUGGUUUGCUUUCCUUCGGCUGCCAGGGUCGAAUAAGCUAGGUGCUAUCUGGCCUUUCCGCUAAAAGGGACAGGAGCUUUUGUGUCAGUUAAGAAGAUGUCUUUGGAGGCAAUUGCUAUUUGCUAAAGGGAAACUGAGUAACUGACUACUGUUUGGGUUAGGGCUGGUGGUGUCCCUGAUGAACUUAAGUACUAUCAAGGCUUAUAUGAGGUUGGUUCAGUGUUGUGUUAUUGAUAUUGAUAUGGGCCUUUUAAGAAGGGAAGAUACAGACAAGAUUCCUCCUGCAGCCGAGUUGAUCUACUAAGAUCCAUGAUGUCCUCUUCAAUUUUCAAAUCGUUUGGACAUCUGAGCAACUCUCGGCAAAAAACACAAAUUUGGGGUCCGUAAAAAAGUUUACUGUUCAUGGACUGUUCUGACUCGAUUUGUCUUUUUUGCUGAGAGCUACUCAAAUGUCCAAAUGAUCUGAAAAUUAGAGCGGGCCUCACGCAAUAAAUUAUCUACCAUACAAAAAUUGGGAUUUUUUUUUUAUUUUGUAUGAAUUUUUUCUAACCGGGUG